ensembl:lncRNA
AACAAAACAACACCAGCGGUUCUAAUCCUUCAUCUUUCCCACAUUUUGAAAGUAUGCAUGACAUAGUCAUCGACCUUUGUCCAACAUUUCCGAGAAUGGAGUGGACAUUGGGUUUGACGGGGACGAGGAUGCAGCGGAACACUCGAAUUCAGUGGACGGUGUGUGCCUUUCCAAAUCAUGUCCAAUCAACUGAAUUUAUCACAAUUGGACUCCAAUCAAGUUGUAGAAACAUCUCAAGGAUGAUCAGUGGAAACAGGAUGCCCCCCAAGCUCAAUUUUGAGUGUCGUGGCAAAGGCUGUGAAUACUUAUGUACAUGUGAUUUUUUUUUUUUUUUUUAAAUAAAUUUGCAA